rnacentral:rRNA from 1 species
GAUCAUGGCUUAGGAUGAACGCUAGCGGCAGGCUUAACACAUGCAAGUCGAGGGGCAGCGGGGAGUAGCAAUACUCCGCCGGCGACCGGCGCACGGGUGCGUAACGCGUAUGCAACCUACCUUUAACAGGGGCAUAACACUGAGAAAUUGGUACUAAUUCCCCAUAACAUUCGAGAAGGCAUCUUCUUGGGUUAAAAACUCCGGUGGUUUAAAGAUGGGCAUGCGUUGUAUUAGCUAGUUGGUGAGGUAACGGCU